UCCUUCUUAGCUCAGUUGGUAGAGCGCGUCACUAGUAAUUUACUUACGUAAUGACGAGGUCAGUCGUUCAAGUCGGCUAGAAGGAA